AACGAACGCUGGCGGCAUGCCUAACACAUGCAAGUCGAACGAGACCUUCGGGUCUAGUUGCGCACGGGUGCGUAACGCGUGGGAACCUGCCCUUAGGUUCGGAAUAACUCCCCGAAGGGGGUGCUAAUACCGGAUAAUGUCUUCGGACCAAAGAUUUAUCGCCUUUGGAUGGGCCCGCGUUGGAUUAGCUAGUUGGGAGUGUAAAAGCCUACCAAGGAGACGAUCCAUAGCUGGUCUGAGAGGAUGAUCAGACACACUGGGACUGAGACACGGCCCAGAGUCCUACGGGAGGCAGCAGUGGGGAAUAUUGGACAAUGGGCGAAAGCCUGAUCCAGCAAUGCCGCGUGAGUGAUGAAGGCCUUAGGGUUGUAAAGCUCUUUUACACGGGAUGAUAAUGACAGUACCGGGAGAAUAAGCUCCGGCUAACUCCGUG
rnacentral:rRNA from 1 species